rnacentral:rRNA from 1 species
AUUGGCUUUUAAUUGGGGCCUAGGAUGAAUGAAUGAACGGAUAAAUACUGUCUUGAAUUAAUUAUUUUUAAGUUACUUAAAAGGUGAAAAUUCCUUUAAAGUUUUAAUAGACGAGAAGACCCUAGGAGUUUAAUAUUUAUUUUGUUGGGGCGACAACGUAACAAAUAACUUACGUAUUAUAAUUUAAUUUAACGAAAAUUUUAAUAAAGAAUAAACUACCCUAGGGAUAACAGCAUAAUUUUUUAAAAGAUUGUGACCUCGAUGU